GUGUGUUUGAGAUCGACUAGACGAGAGAGAAGGGGGCAAACCCUACUUGGCCACGAACAAGCAAAUUGAAAGGGGAAUAUAAUGUUAAAUUGGUGCAUGAAACUCAAAUCUUAAUCAUCUUAACCUUCUUAACAAACGGGAUAAAGGGAGAAAGUUCAAGCCGCACUAAGUGAGAAGGAAAUCAAGACCGAGGUAAAACUCAAGUUUAGGUGCUUAUGCUUCGCUCGGAUCGAACACACUUUGAACGCCUUACAUGCGCUUCCGCAACUUUUGAAGUAUCGCCAAUGGGUCAAAAUACUUUUGUUAAAAUAGGUUAUGUUUGGUAGUUAAAACUUUAAACUAGAUGUGUUAAAUAUUUUUUAAAAUUUCUAGUUUGUAGUGGAUGUUUAAAAUGUUACGAUUAUCGUUAUGUCUUUUGGAAUGCGUCGUAGGAUUAGUUGUAUGAUGGUUGUUAAAACAGGGAAUUGUUCACGUUACGAACGGGUCAUGCCCGAAUUUUGUUAAAAAUAGUACGUUAGUACUUAUAUUUUGAAUAAAGAAAUCUGGGCGUUUCA